rnacentral:rRNA from 1 species
CCUACGGGAGGCAGCAGUGAGGAAUAUUGGUCAAUGGGCGGAAGCCUGAACCAGCCAAGUCGCGUGAGGGAAUAAGGCCCUACGGGUCGUAAACCUCUUUUGCCGGGGAGCAAGGGCGGGGACGCGUCCCGGCCCGGAGAGUUCCCGGAGAAAACGCAUCGGCAAACACCGUGCCAGCAGCCGCGGUAAUAGGGGGGGUGCGGGUGUUAUCCGUUUUUAUUGGGUUAAAAGGGGGCGUAGGGGGGCUUUUAAGUCAGCGGGAAAAGUUAGGGUCUACACCCCGCCCGGCCGUUGAAACUGGGGGACUUGAGUGGGCGAGGAGAAGGCGGAAUGCGUGGUGUAGCGGUGAAAUGCAUAGAUA